CGCGUAGGCGGUUUGUUAAGUCGGACGUGAAAGCCCCGGGCUCAACCUGGGAAUUGCACCCGAUACUGGCCGACUAGAGUACGAGAGAGGGAGGUAGAAUUCCACGUGUAGCGGUGAAAUGCGUAGAUAUGUGGAGGAAUACCGGUGGCGAAGGCGGCCUCCUGGCUCGAUACUGACGCUGAGGUGCGAAAGCGUGGGGAGCAAACA
rnacentral:rRNA from 1 species